rnacentral:rRNA from 1 species
ACGGAAGGCAGCAGUGGGGAAUAUUGGGCAAUGGGCGAAAGCCUGACCCAGCAACGCCGCGUGAGGGAAGAAGGUUUUCGGAUUGUAAACCUCUGUCCUCAGGGACGAAGGAAGUGACGGUACCUGAGGAGGAAGCCCCGGCUAACUACGUGCCAGCAGCCGCGGUAAUACGUAGGGGGCGAGCGUUGUCCGGAAUGACUGGGCGUAAAGGGCGUGUAGGCGGCUUUAUAAGUCUGGAGUGGAAGUCCUGCUUUCAAGGUGGGAAUUGCUUUGGAGACUGUAGAGCUUGAGUGCGGAAGAGGUAAGUGGAAUUCCCAGUGUAGCGGUGAAAUGCGUAGAGAUUGGGAGGAACACCAGUGGCGAAGGCGACUUACUGGGCCGUAACUGACGCUGAGGCACGAAAGCAUGGGUAGCAAACAGGAUUAGAUACCCUGGUA